UACGUAGGGUGCAAGCGUUAAUCGGAAUUACUGGGCGUAAAGCGUGCGCAGGCGGUGAUGUAAGACAGUUGUGAAAUCCCCGGGCUCAACCUGGGAACUGCAUCUGUGACUGCAUCGCUGGAGUACGGUAGAGGGGGAUGGAAUUCCGCGUGUAGCAGUGAAAUGCGUAGAGAUCGCGGAGGAACACCGAUGGCGAAGGCA
rnacentral:rRNA from 1 species